rnacentral:rRNA from 1 species
AACGCUAGCUACAGGCUUAACACAUGCAAGUCGAGGGGCAGCAUGAACUUAGCUUGCUAAGUUUGAUGGCGACCGGCGCACGGGUGAGUAACGCGUACCCAACCUUCCGUACACUCAGGAAUAGCCUUUCGAAAGAAAGAUUAAUACCUGAUGGUAUGAUGAGAUUGCAUGAAAUCAUCAUUAAAGAUUCAUCGGUGUACGAUGGGGAUGCGUUCCAUUAGAUAGUAGGCGGGGUAACGGCCCACCUAGUCGACGAUGGAUAGGGGUUCUGAGAGGAAGGUCCCCCACAUUGGAACUGAGACACGGUCCAAACUCCUACGGGAGGCAGCAGUGAGGAAUAUUGGUCAAUGGGCGCGAGCCUGAACCAGCCAAGUAGCGUGAAGGAUGAAGGUCCUACGGAUUGUAAACUUCUUUUAUAAGGGAAUAAAGUCACCCACGUGUGGGUGUUUGUAUGUACCUUAUGAAUAAGCAUCGGCUAACUCCGUGCCAGCAGCCGCGGUAAUACGGAGGAUGCGAGCGUUAUCCGGAUUUAUUGGGUUUAAAGGGAGCGUAGACGGGUCGUUAAGUCAGCUGUGAAAGUUUGAGGCUCAACCUUAAAAUUGCAGUUGAUACUGGCGUCCUUGAGUACGGUUGAGGCAGGCGGAAUUCGUGGUGUAGCGGUGAAAUGCUUAGAUAUCACGAAGAACUCCGAUUG